CUUGUUUCUGAUUGAAAUAUAAGACCCAUGUAUCAGAAGGCUCUCAGUUCUUCUCUGAUCAUCUCCACACCAUGAUCCUGAACACAGUGUCAGUCACUGGACUCCUGCUCUCCUUCACCGUCACCGGUUUGGCGGCGUACAGUUUGAGUCAGGAGAAGUCACGCCGACGGCACCUUCUCCCAGACCAGUCUUCUGAAGCUCACUAAGCAGCGCUGGAGCUCCGGGAGAACCUACACGUGCCGUCUGAGUCACCCGGCGCUUUCCACACCGCUGAGCCAGAGCACCAGCCUGGACCUGUGUGGCUAAACAGAAAUCUAAACAUAAAAUAGAGAUGCAUUUCAGAAGUUCACAUGCUCUUUAGAAGCUUGCUUUAGAUCUGAAAAUACAGUAUACAAUAAUAAAGUUCUUCUAUAUAAUUGA